GUCCUAGUUUCGGCUGGACAUAUGCUAAAAUUGGGACGACACAGAAAAGAUUAGCAUGGGCUCUGCACAAAAAAGUCCAAUUUCCAGUUCAAUUUGAAGUAAAGCUUC